UACGUAGGGUGCAAGCGUUGUCCGGAAUUAUUGGGCGUAAAGAGCUCGUAGGCGGUCUGUCGCGUCGGCUGUGAAAACCGGAGGCUCAACCUCCGGCCUGCAGCCGAUACGGGCAGACUAGAGUUCGGUAGGGGAGACUGGAAUUCCUGGUGUAGCGGUGAAAUGCGCAGAUAUCAGGAGGAACACCGGUGGCGAAGGCGGGUCUCUGGGCCGAAACUGACGCUGAGGAGCGAAAGCAUGGGGAGCAAACAGG
rnacentral:rRNA from 1 species